UACGUAUGGAGCAAGCGUUAUCCGGAUUUACUGGGUGUAAAGGGAGCGUAGGCGGUCCUGCAAGUCUGAUGUGAAAGGCCGGGGCUCAACCCCGGGACUGCAUUGGAAACUGUAGGACUAGAGUGCCGGAGGGGUAAGUGGAAUUCCUAGUGUAGCGGUGAAAUGCGUAGAUAUUAGGAGGAACACCAGUGGCGAAGGCGGCUUACUGGACGACUACUGACGCUGAGGCUCGAAAGCGUGGGGAGCAAACAGG
rnacentral:rRNA from 1 species